rnacentral:rRNA from 1 species
AUGAACGCUGGCGGCGUGCCUAAUACAUGCAAGUCGAGCGAACGGACGAGAAGCUUGCUUCUCUGAUGUUAGCGGCGGACGGGUGAGUAACACGUGGAUAACCUACCUAUAAGACUGGGAUAACUUCGGGAAACCGGAGCUAAUACCGGAUAAUAUUUUGAACCGCAUGGUUCAAAAGUGAAAGACGGUCUUGCUGUCACUUAUAGAUGGAUCCGCGCUGCAUUAGCUAGUUGGUAAGGUAACGGCUUACCAAGGCAACGAUGCAUAGCCAACCUGAGAGGGUGAUCGGCCACACUGGAACUGAGACACGGUCCAGACUCCUACGGGAGGCAGCAGUAGGGAAUCUUCCGCAAUGGGCGAAAGCCUGACGGAGCAACGCCGCGUGAGUGAUGAAGGCCUUCGGAUCGUAAAACUCUGUUAUUAGGGAAGAACAUAUGUGUAAGUAACUGUGCACAUCUUGACGGUACCUAAUCAGAAAGCCUCGGCUAACUACGUG